rnacentral:tRNA from 1 species
GCCCGUGUAGUCUAAUGGUUAUGACGUCACUUUCCGGAGGUGGAAGUUGGGGGUUCGAGUCCCUCCUCGGGUU